rnacentral:rRNA from 1 species
CCUUAACCUACCCUUCGACAUGUCCGGAAUCCCGAAGAGAUUUGGGUAGGUGCUCGCAAGAGAAUCGGAACACAGGUGCUGCAUGGCUGUCGUCAGCUCGUGUCGUGAGAUGUUGGGUUAAGUCCCGCAACGAGCGCAACCCUUAUCAUUAGUUGCUACGCAAGGGCACUCUAAUGAGACUGCCGGUGACAAACCGGAGGAAGGUGGGGAUGACGUCAAGUCCUCAUGGCCCUUAUGGGUAGGGCUUCACACGUCAUACAAUGGUCGGUACAGAGGGUUGCCAAGCCGCGAGGCGGAGCCAAUCCCACAAAGCCGAUCGUAGUCCGGAUUGUUCUCUGCAACUCGAGAGCAUGAAGUCGGAAUCGCUAGUAAUCGCAGGUCAGCAUACUGCGGUGAAUACGUUCCCGGGUCUU